ACUCCGUCUCAAAAAAACAAAACAAAACAAAACAAAAAUUAAUUCGUAUGCUUCUCUCUUGUUAAUCUGUCUUCUGUGUAGGGCCUCAACCUUGAAUCUUGAUGUGAUGAAAAGAUAUUACUUGUUCUCCUCUACAGUUUCUGGUGCCCAACACGGGGCAAUGGAGACAUCACACUCCCUCUGAAGCCUGCAGAAAGGAUCCUGAGACAACCGACAAAAAGCCAGCAGAAGAUCUGGGUGCAGUUGGCUCAGUCCUCCAUCCCUACCCUCGGGAAAGUCUCUCUCCCAGAUUUCAGCUCCUCCUCAACAAGCUUGCACGUUGUGCCGAAGAGCAAUCGCUUCUGCUGUAUCAGAAGGAGAGAAGGAGGCGGCUAAGCUGGUUCCCAGGUUCCCGUGUGGGUGACCGCGAUAAGGACGACAGAUACAGUACCAGAUAUCUCCAUGAGAAAACGACGCACAUGCCACAGUACCAGAUAUCUCCACGAGAAAAUGGAGCACGUGCCACGGUACCAGAUAUCUCCACGAGAAAACGGAGCACGUGCUCGUCGUCUUUGGAAGAUGCAGUUCCCUGAUCUCCCACAUGCAGCUCUGUUCCAGUGCAUGAGAUCCACCUUGUGUAUU